UGCUUGCUUCAGCAGCGCAUAUACUAAAGCUGGGACGAUACAGAGA
rnacentral:snRNA from 1 species